ensembl:lncRNA
UUCAAACCCACAAAUACAAUGGAAGCAGUCAGUUGUGGAAAUAGCCUAAGUUGAUGUUGUGUGGGCAAGGUGAGACAAAUUUUCUUUGCUCAGAAUCAACCCCGUACUUUAUUUUUCUGCCCCUGUAUAUUUCCAGCACAGCAAACGUAACACAUGUUGUCAAUUCCAAACGCUGUGUGUAAAAAUUUGAAAUAGAAUGCUCCCAAUUUCAAUUUAGUUGUGCCCACAAGGUCCCUAAAUUUCAGACUAUUGCACCAUUGCUGAGAGCAUAUGGGACUGGGCAGGUGAAACGCAGUGACCUGGCAAAUAGUCCAAAGACUGAUGAGAGUCGGGUACACGUCAGAAGCCACUGGGUGUGCUGGCACAAACGGUAACCAGAAUGUGGAUCAGACAGACACCCAGCACUCGUUAGCUUAUUACUCUCUUAUUAGGAACAUUUUUGCCUUGCAUGGAUUGGCAGAGUCCUGCUAGCCACCCUCUUCACAUGGCCCAGGCUCUGUCAGAGCUGAUCAAAAGACAUUUCUUCACAUCUCCAGACGCCAGGGAAAAAAGAAGAAGAAAAGAGGGAGAGAAGAAAAGAGCCAGAAGGGGGCAUACUGCUCUCUCUUUACUCUGGUCUUUUGGUGAAUGAGGACAUUUCACAAUACCCUCUCCUUUUUCUUUUUUUAUUUCUUCCACUGCAAAAAAAAAAAAAAAAGGAAAAAAGAAAAGAAAAACAGCACUUCCCAUCGCAUUUGGCCAAAUUGUUCUUGCCAUAUCAAAAACAAUUAUCCUCAGGUGAAGAAUGUGCCUGCAGAAUUACAACCAUUCCAGGGGGAGAAAGAGGUCUUCACAAAUCUGACUGGCUUCCAGGCAGCCAAGACCCCCUCGAAGUGGUAAUGAAAAGUGUAACUUUAGCCUCCCAGCUGUACGUCUCAAUCCAUAAUCCUUCCCCAAAAACCUCACCGUAGAGCCGCCUACCACUCCCAUGGCGUUCCCAGCCUGUGCCGGGCUGGGCCUACACUGAUUUAUGUGGCAGUCCCGUGUCAUACUCUCAACCUGAAAAGGAUUUGCUCUCCUAUAUUUACCAGGGUGGUCAGGGCAGCUCUCUGGAAACACAGAAAGCCCAGUCUCCGGGCCUCACUCCCGCACAGUCGUUUUACCCCUCUGUGCCAAUAACAUGGAGAUUUUGGAGCUCCAGUGUUUCCAAAGUGGGGUGUUUAAGCAGUGCAGAGGUCAGAGUCCAUGUACUCGCGCCAACACAGCCACAUGGCCACGUUUUGGUAUGCAGAUACACAGACACAGGGAGGAGGCUGAAGGAGAUCACAGGGAGGAGCUGUACCAGCUCGAUGUCCUUAACCUGUUCUGAGAAGGGCAACAGAGGGUGGAGGGACUGGAAAGGAAAUGCACCCUUCGACCGAAAUGGAACACCAGGUGGCAGGAAGGGGGCAGGAGGCCUUUGAAGCUGACCCUUGGUCUCUGCGCUGGGAUGGCCUCAACACUCGAUUCAGCCAGAGAUGGCAGGGAGGGGAGCCAGGUGCCCCCAGAGGGCCUUUAGACCACACAGAUCUAUUAUGGUCGAGGCGGAGAGAUUAGGCUGGGGCUCAGCCCCAUUGCUCCCAGUCAUAUCACUGUGAAGACAGCCAGAGUCAAGCAACAACAAGCAGAAACAUACUGAGUAACGUCUCGUAUCAUCAUCAAAACUGUGUGUUUUAGGAAGAUUUUCCACUGUGAAAUUCUGUCAAAUCAGUAUGUAAAACGCUGCACAAUUGGCACGUGUGCACACCUGAUAAAUGGAAUAAAUGUAGAUCAGCAGAAAGCUUUUGGAAAUGACAGAGUAAAUGUUGAAAGCAAUAAAGACAGAAACGAGUUAUUUCAGCAUGUUAAUACAUAUUUAUUUAUUUUUCACUGAAUAUAAACAGAGAUGAAUGAGCUGGGGAAAAAAAUGUACUCUAGAAGGUGUAGGGAAGAAAGGAUCAAUCAAAAUCAGAAAAUAAAAUACACAAGAUUCAAUCAUACUACAUAACAGGAAGAUUGGAGCAUGAUCAAAGAGGUAUACAAACACAACAAUAUCACAAAAGAAGAAAAUUAAAUUUGUGUUUGUGUUUGUGUGCAGGAGUACACAUGUUAUUGUGACAAACUGCUAAGUGAUCCAGUAAACUGCAGGCAUUAUAUUGAAUUUGCCAGAAGGAAAAUAUCAGCAAAUACUCAACAGCAGUUGUGUGAUUUGGGAUACUUUUGCCAUUAAAACACAGAUGUAAAACAUCCAGUGAUAAAGCUGCAGCAGUUUAUUAGGAGAUAAGCUUGCAUGUCUAUGAAUCAGGCAUCCCAUUCAUAGUGUUCAGCUAGGACAACACUAGGAAUGCGCAGGCUGCUUUGUAUUUUGGCCAGCUUUGGAGGAGGUGAGUGCUAUCAGUAUCUACAUGCUCAUCCCUCUGUAUUUCUAUGUUUACUGCACACAACACGCAAGCAAACACACAUUUCCACGCACACUUACACUCACAAACAGAAACUCAAAUCCUGAUCCUCACCCACCCCCCUAUGCUUCCCUCCUCGGGUGAGGAAAUGACACUCAGCGAGGAUGGCUGGGAGAAAUGAAGACAUGUCUGAUUUCCUCAGUAGCCAAUGGUGUUUCUGCUCUCUGUACUCUCUGCCCUCUGAUAGGUCUUUGUAACUCUCUUCAUCUCAAGGCCCAUGUCAUUCCUUCUAAUCUCCUUCCCAAACACAAACGGGCCAAUCCUGAGACACGGCUCAGGGGCUGGGGAGGGAUGACGCAGCUGAGGCAUGGAAAGAGUGAGGGAUGUUGUUCAGGAGGAGAGAAAGGUGCAUCAGAAGCUGAUGGUGGUGUGAGAAGGAGCCAAUGUGUUAUUAUUAAUAAAGCAUUAAAAAAAAAACGCGAGCACAUCAAAGCAUACAGGGGCUGUGCUAUCAUACAUGAAAGUAACGCACUAUGGCUUAAUGUUUCCUAAGGCAUGUUAUGGUGACGUCGCUUUGAUUUGAAAUGCAUUGUGUGGAAAAUGGAUUUACAGGAGUGGAGGGAGAAAGCUUGGUGUGGGUUCAGACCAUAAUUUAAAACCUGACCUCAUAGGCUCUUCAAAGUCUCUGUGAGCGUGGAUAUUUAGGAUGUCCUUACAGUAUGUGUGACAGACCUAAAUCACAGCCUCGCAAACAACAAAUAAACACAUAUAUACAUAAGAGCGGGAUGAGGAGAACACCUGCAAAAACAAAAAAUGAAAAUUUUAAAAAGUCUAAUAUACACACGAUGUUCACUAAAAAUACUUGGAACUAAUUUUUCAAUUUGCUUUAUUCUUUCUUUUUUGAGCAAUUGGUGUCGCACCUGAUUGAACUGUGUUCCUUUGCUGUUCAAGGCCUGCAGGAAGUCAGAGAUUUUUUUUUCCAUUGCUCCACCAUGGCUAGGUAAUUAUCCUAAUCUACCCUCCUCCCGUGUUCCAGCGCCAAUGCCAUACUGGCUCAGACCACCUCUGUGGCUUCAUUAUCGGUGCUAGGACUCACUAAUGGCUUUAGAGCAUCACUGUGCAGGCUGCUAGAGAAGAGAAACCAGGGUAAAGGGGAACGAAGAAGACGCAGGAGGAGGAGAACAGAGAAAAGAGGGAAGGAAAAAAUGAGGUACUGAAGAGCAAGGGUUGCCCUGAAGGUUAACAUCUCAAUCAUGAGGGACAAUGCUCACUAUAGUCCAAAUGCUUCGUCAUCUUAAAGGCAUAUUUUACUGACUGAGGAUGAAGCUAAAGUGCAUAACACCGUUAAAAAAAGAGGAAAUCAGGAGAUCGUCCGUACUCUCCACGCAGAGUGUGGAGAGUACGUGGAAGGUCGCUGUGUCUACGUGUCCAUCUGAUACAAACACCCACCUUGCAUUUUUGAAAGAGCUAAAACCUCAUAACAUACAGAAGGAAUGGGGGUGGGAAUACAGUUUCACGUUUUUGUUUUUUGUUUUUUUCUGACAAAUGACACCCUGACAGUUGGAAAAAAAAAUGUUGGGGUCCCUGAACAGAUUUCUCAGUUAUAAAAAUAAAAUGUGUUGGAUUAGACAAAGACAGACAUCUUACAUUCUACUUUUGAACCCCAAUGAGAGCCACCCCACCCCCACUCCGUCUGUGCCAUGAUUGUUGUUGUUGGUUUUUUUUUCCCUCUCUAGAAAUGUCAUAUAUUAAAGAUUCUAUAUGGCACAAACAGACACUGAUUUCUUCCAUGUGUACACAACAUAUAGGAUGACAGAUUGAGAUGGUGUAAAAUGUCUGCGCAUUACUCUAAAUAGGCACGAAAGCUUUAAGCGUUCUUUAUAUACCCAGUAGGGGGGCCUUUUAGUCCAGUCAAUCUAUUUCAAAAGAGGGCCCAAGAAUUUUCAGUAGUAAGAUUUUUAAAUACUUUUUAUUUUUCCUAAUAACAUUCUGCCACACAUAGUGAAAAUACCUUAAAGUACCUUAGUAAAACUUGUUGUUUUUUUGAGGUCAAAAGCAAGUUCGACAUUUUAGAGUGAUGUGGUAAGGUAACAAAGUAUUUACCUUAGAGGGUCUAUGUACACCGAUCCACUUAUUCAAUAAUAUUUUCAAUAAACAUAUAUUUACAAAUGUUCAACCCUUACAUUUUUGCCAGAUUUUCCUGUUUGUAACACCUUGAUUCUAUUGGUGUACCUGCAUUUAAAAUAGGUAUAAAAUGUCCCUUAUAGCCACUGUGCUAUUUUAGAAAUAUUAAUAAGAAAAAAUUAAUAAAUGCACUUGUAUUGAUUACAUUUAUUAAAUUUCUUUAGUUUUCAAAUGAUUGACACCAACUCACUCUUGCUUUACAAUGGUUUGAAUCACCCUUUCCCACUCCGACACCCUUAGCUCUCAACAGUGGUACAUUAUGCAGGUACAAUGAUUGAGUGGGAAUGUGACCAUCUGUGGUUGGCCACUCACCUCCAAUAAGUUGUUUACCAUAUAACACAAAAUAAAACAUUUAAUAUCAUGUAAAAAUACUGUUUGCUCUGAACUUGAUAUUUAAAGUAAAUUAGAUUAUUAGGGGCUUAUUAUAGGUAAAUUUAAGGAUGCCUGGACCAUAGCAUCUGAGGUAGUGUGUACGCUGAAAAACAAGAAUCCGUUUAAUCAUUUAUGUAUCUAUAACAUUUAUCAACAUGUAUAUCUGAAGUAUCCAAGAACCAUUUAAUAAUUUAUAUACUACGACAACUAUUACCAUGUAUGCCUUAAACAGUAAUAAUACAUUAAAAGUACUAAGCUGAGUCAGUAUUUGUUAACCAAACUGGAGGCUUCCACUGUUGCAGCCAGUAGAGCGGUAUGUUGAGAAAGGUUUUACAUGCCUUUUUCUGCACUUAUCAUUAGACCAUUCAUCCCUUUGUCAUUUUUUUUUUUUUGGGGGGGGGGGUGUUUAAGGAUUGCCUUCCUGCCAUGGAGAAUACAUCAAGUAAGGUGGCUGGCUGCAAAGACCUUCUCUAGGUCUGUCCAUCAUCAUAUUUCGUAAGGAGACAGGUUGUGGGGGAACUAUAGGAUGAAAUUAAUCUGUGUCUAAGGGUUCUAUUUCCCAAGCCUGUAUCCAAGAACCAUUUAAUAAUUUAUAUACUAACGACAACUAUUACCAUGUAUGCCUUAAACAGUAAUAAUACAUUAAAAGUACAUAACUUCAGCUUACAUGAUUAAUACAUCCACUAAUCUUAUGAGGGUCUUUUGAGUGUUAAUCUGGAUCCUAUCUAAAGAAAACAAAAGUUAAUUAAGUGUAAAAAUGAUUUUGUUCUCUUAACUUAAACAUUGCACUCUUCUUUAAGGUUCCCGCUUUAUUUCAUGAGUAAGUAUGCAAAGUGGCGGCAACACAGUGCGUGAUCUGCUUCCAGACAAGGUACAAGUACACCAACCAAAGAAAUCUUAAGGAACAGACAUGACACUGAAAGAAACCUAAGUUGGAGUCUGUAGAAAAAUUCCCCAAGAGCAAAGAUGGUGGUAGAAGUACAACUUCUAGGGGAAAGAGAAAAAAAAACUUAUGGAGGUUAUGGAGAAAGUCAGCAAAAUUUGAGCUUCUUUGGCAGGUUUUAUUCAUGAUUUUAUAUAUGAAGUUUUUAGAAUCUACUGCUGAUUGAAAUUAAAGCGUGGGUUCAAGUAAAGGGCUUGAAAGAAAUACACCCAGCCCUUAACCUUCCCUUCUCUAUACUCUACCCUUGUGCCCUGACAGGUGCUUUGUCCCUGCUCUUGACACUGAGAAUCUUGAAUAGCUGUCCCUUCUAAAAGGAAUUAUUUGAAAAGACAUUUACUUUCCAGAUAAUUAUAAAUUAGGUGUUCACAAGCUAAUGUCUUAAGAUUACAAAUUGGGCCAGAAAAGCAAUAUCAUGCUUACCACUAAUGAUUCUAGGUCUCGAUCUCUAUGUUCCAUAUUUGCUCACUUAUGUUUUUCUUUGGGUUUUUUUUCUUUUUUUGCUCUUUUUUUUCUUUCACGAGACAAAGACCUGUGAGCCAAGAUCAUAACAAUCAUAUUUUAUAGAUGCCUUUAUGCUAUUUACAGAAAAUAUGGAGGUUGGAAAGAUAGUUAUGGUAAAUGGACUGGUUCUUAUAUAGUGGUUUUCUACUCUACCUGAGCACUCAAAGCACUUUAUACAACUUGCCUUAUUUACCCAUUCACACAAGCACUUUUUUCUCUUCUUUUUCUACGUAAGAGCUUUCUAUCUAACACGACACACAUCCGUAAUCCGAUGGGGGUUAGUAUCUCGCCCAAGGAUAUGUGAGAUGUAGACUGGAGAAGCCAGGGAUUGAAGGCUGUAAGCCAAAACAGGUCAGAAAGCAUAUUGUUGUGUUCCUGCACUUUUAUGUAAAGUAACACACAUCACUCUCUAUGGGCAAUUAGAUGAAGUGGAGAUAUUAGAAAUAUUUCAAAUAUUUCAAAUUUAACUUGUUAAAUACCUCUAUUUGACCGAAGUCAGUGAUUAAGCAUUUGAACAAAACUCUCCAGGUUUUGUUUUCCAUACUAAGCUGAGUCAGUAUUUGUUAACCAAACUGGAGGCUUCCACUGUUGCAGCCAGUAGAGCAGUAUGUUGAGAAAGGUUUUACAUGCCUUUUUCUGCACUUAUCAUUAGACCAUUCAUCCCUUUGUCAUUUUGGGGGGGGGUUAAGGAUUGCCAUGGAGAAUACAUCAAGUAAGGUGGCUGGCUGCAAAGACCUUCUCUAGGUCUGUCCAUCAUCAUAUUUUGUAAGGAGACAGGUUGUGGGGGAACUAUAGGAUGAAAUUAAUCUGUAUCUAAGGGUUCUAUUUCCCAAGCCUGUUGCCCACACUGAUGAGCUCUUGAAAACUGGCAAAUUUAGGAGAGAGAAGAAGACAACUUUGCUGAGAAAUUUCUUUGCCAGCUUCCAUUCCCUUUUUAAAUUCCACAGGGACUGAAAGCAUCACGUUGGGCCUCUGAGAGUAAGAGGGCUUCUGUUUUGGCUCUAGUUGGGUUUGAAAGAUCAAAACUGGUUUGUUGAGAAGAUUCAUUAAUUUUCUUCACAUGCGAAUUUCACUGUAUUCUGCCAUGUGUUAUAUUAACAAGGAUCAGGCAAGAUGGGGCACUUGUUAGAUUGUGUGAAACCACAAAACAUAUGAAAUCUCCUGGGCACAGGGUGGUGGAGUAGGCUAUUAGGUAGCAGGCAAGUAGAGUAUUCAUGACUGGCAGAGGGGGAGCAAUAACUCUGACUAUUUAAGAAAGACAUGGCACUUGAAAUCCUGAAAAGGAUAGGAGAAAUACUAUCCUUUAAGCCAGAAAGACCCAAGAUCCAAUCAGCUGAUGAACCAUAAACAACACCAUCCUGUUUCUACUGACAGAUGUACAACUGAAGUUGGCAAUUUUAACAGUGUGGUGGAAAACAUAUCUACCUUUUGUUGUAGUAAAGUAGAUAACAGAAAUCCAGCUAGACAACCAACACUGUCAUCUAAAGCAGGUUAACAAUUAACACGUGUCCUCAAGAAAUGCUUAAAACUGUAAUACAAAAAGAAAAUAAUAAAAAGUACCAAAAACUAGUUUAAGAAUUUAUCUGGAUUCAAAUCUGAAAAGUUAAGUGCACAAAAAGUGAGUUGCAGCUUCUAAGAAAGCAAUUUUGAGGAUGGUGUGUAUAAGAGUGUGUGUUUUUACAUUUAAAGACAUCGCAACUUAUUUUCAUACAUUAAUGUCCUCCAGCACAAUGAACUUGCACCCUAAGCUGCUGUUAAUAAAAAAGCAAUUCAACUGAUAAUUUUAUUAAAUGAAAACAGAAAUGAUUCUUUUUUUACAGAGAGAGUCCCACCUCGUUGCUACAUUAAGGUAAAAAUACUGAAAUGCUUCCAGUAACUAAACUACUUCUUAGGACACCUAUAUUUGGUAAGCAUAUAAGUGGAUAAAUAACGGUGACAGUAAAUGUUCAUGCUUAGGGCUCAAGAGGAUAUUAAUACAUUCUUUCCACCCCAACAUUGUUGUCAGUUGGCACAAGCAGUCAUCAGAA